rnacentral:lncRNA from 1 species
UUUACGUGUAAUAAAUCCAUAAUAUUAAGAAGGAUUAAAUAUUUUGUAGUUCUUAAAUAUAAAAUCAGAAUUUGUCUAUAUUCAAAAUUUUAAUAUAAUUUUGCCUUUUGUCACACCCCAUUUAAAACCUUACUUUAGUGGAGUACACUUGUCAACCGUCCGGUCUUCCCUGGUUAGUGGGAGACCAACUCUGCCAAGCUUUUAAUUCCCUUCCUUCGUGAUCCGUGUAGCAGCAGCAGAGCAGUGAAACCCAGAAAGUGGAAGUCAGGUGGCAGACUGGGAGUGGACCGAACGUUCCGAAUGGAGGCAGUACUUAAGGUAAAAUGAGAAACCCUGACGCCACUUUUCCCAUGCAAUCUUCUUCUUCCUCAAACUCAACUUUCUGAAAUCUCAAACUCUCCUCCUUCUCUCUAAACCUCCCAACCUUCUCUCUAAAAUUCUAACCAAUCUACUGUUCCGAUCACCAUUCAGAUCACACCUGAAGACUUCUGGUGGUCUCCUCUUUCACUUGAACCGUCCGGUUUUGGGUUUCAGUUGACUUUGGAAACCUUAGAAGAAAUAGUUGCUGUCAACCUAACUUAGACGUACUAGCUGGAUUAGAGGUAAGGGAAGCUUAUAAAGUUUAAUUAUAAUUUCUCUGUAUGGUUUGAAUGUAUGCCUGAUUUAAUGUAUGUUUUCUAAAGUAUGCUGCUUAAUUUCUUAUGAUUGAAAUAUGGUAUGUUGUUGUACGAGUUGUAUGAUAAGUAUGAACUAUGAAUUCUGCACUGAUAUGAGUAUGUAUGAAACUUAGAGAAAAUAUGAAUCUGAAAUCGAAGGUCAUUAGGACCGUUCGGUCCUCCCUUUUCCGUUCGGUCUGUUUGUACUGAUCGGCCUAGUGUGAUUACUAAAUUUAGUUGGUUUCCUUUAAUUGUUUUAUUGAUAGCUACGUAAGAAUGCUGGUCAUAAACCAAACGUUCGACCUUCCAAGUGUUCGGCCUUAGGUUGACACUUAGAUUAUAAAACUUGCAAAUAUGAUAUUCUUCCUUUUGAAACCGUCCGGUCACUCAAUGACUGAACGGUCUAGUGAGCCUUUAUUUAUUUAAAACGUCUUGUUUACUUGACUAAAGCCCUUUUACUCUUUUAAAGAGUUUCUUCUUUCUUAAUUCGUCCGGUCUGAUAAGUGUUCGGUCAUAGACCAACCUUCAACCAUGAUUAGUGCUUAUUUUGUAACACUCUUAGCCAAACCGUUCGAAUGACUAUCACUUAUAGUCAAUCCUUUGAGUUAUGGUCUUAUUCCUUGCUGGACCAUCCGACCAACCAUUUGACAUUCUUCUGUUAUUCAGUCUCAUCUUUGAUGUGACCGUCCGACUACUUACUUGAAUUCUUGAUACUCAGUUUCUCAUUUCGAUUAAACCGUUCGGUCACUAUUAAUUAUAAUUCAGUCUGGGGUAUUUGGUACUUUUCUCAACACCCUAACAGCUUGGAAGUAAUAAUGAACCUUGAUUGAAUUUGGCUAAGUAAGGUAAUUCCACUGGAGGAAUGUCUCAUGAAUUGGUGAUGAAUGGUAAAGUAUGAACGUGGGAAUGACUCAGGUGUCGUCCUGAUCCUGAUAUUCCGUGAGGGCACUUUCUCAGGUAGAGAAAGGUCACUCAUGUGUGGGAAUGGCAGGAGGUCCGCGGUUAUGUGAAUAGAUAACCGUUUAAGGACUAACCUCGGGUGGCAGCUGAUAAGGUAAAGCAGUUACUACACCACACCGGGUGCUAGGGACGACCGAGCUACAUGUUCAUACCGUCCGGACAGUGUCUUAGUGGUCGGUCAUGAUUAAAGGAAUGUAGUAUGUAUGUAUAGAAAUUGUAUGCUUGCUUGCUUGAUGGAUUUGUAUUGUAUGUUUACUUGUAUGAGGUAAUGAUAAAUUAAAUUUACAUAAGCUUACCCUUAUCUGUUGUGUCUUUGUCCAUGUUGCCGUUCGGUAUCCGACUGUUCGGUUAUUUCCUUGAUUGCAAAUGAUCAUCCUUUUUGGGAUGUGAGCAGAGGAUACCCUGGAAGCUACCCUGGAAGACACUCUAGAGGAUGCCGG